rnacentral:rRNA from 1 species
UACGUAGGGUGCGAGCGUUAAUCGGAAUUACUGGGCGUAAAGGGUGCGCAGGCGGUUUUGUAAGCCAGAUGUGAAAUCCCCGGGCUUAACCUGGGAAUGGCAUUUGGGACUGCAAGGCUGGAGUACGGCAGAGGAGACUGGAAUUCCUGGUGUAGCAGUGAAAUGCGUAGAUAUCAGGAGGAAUACCGAUGGCGGAAGGCAGGUCUCUGGGCUGAUACUGACGCUCAUGCACGAAAGCGUG